rnacentral:rRNA from 1 species
AGGACGAACGCUGGCGGCGUGCUUAACACAUGCAAGUCGAGCGGAAAGGCCCUUCGGGGUACUCGAGCGGCGAACGGGUGAGUAACACGUGAGUAAUCUGCCCCUAGCUCUGGGAUAGCUCCGGGAAACCGGGAUUAAUACCGGAUAUGACCACUUUAGACAUCUGUUGUGGUGGAAAGAAUUUCGGCUAGGGAUGAGCUCGCGGCCUAUCAGCUUGUUGGUGGGUAACGGCCUACCAAGGCGACGACGGGUA